rnacentral:siRNA from 1 species
CCCGCGACGUCGCGAGAAGUCCAC